AUACCUGCCUGGCAGGGGGAGAUACAAUAAUCACAAAGAUUGUUUUCUCAGGACAAGGCCUAUCCAUUACACUCUGGAUGUUAUGAUCCCUGUGAUUUCCCUAAAUGUGGGAAACUAGGCUGCAGAAUUUGUGGUAGUGGGGGACUGAUAUAUACUGUCUCCUA